CUCUAUCUCUUCUCUACUAAAAAAAGAGAGCUAAAAUCACUUUUUCAUGGUUCGUCUACACCCUGUGCGAUGCGAGCGCCUCCUCCUUUCGUCCGUCCUCCCGGAGCACGUGCGCACGGAGAUCCUCAUGUCGCGCAGGCUGAGGCACGUGAUGAGCGCGGUUGCGUCCGUGCCCCGGUGCACGUCAAGGAGGGUAGCGCCCUCGAUGCCAGCACGAUGGGUGGGAGCCUCAGGAACGCCGUGGCGAGGCUGAUGUCGCUCUUUGUGCCGGGCGCCGGCAAGGCCGCAGACACCACGGGGGCGUCGUCUGUCCGCCGCCGCGAGAACUCAUUACGCGGAGCAGGGGCUGAAGAGAAGAGAAGCGUCUGAUCGGCAAAGACAGUGCGGGAAGCCUCAAGCCAGGUGCCCAGCUUCAGCGCCAUAGAGUGAUUCUGUCCAAAACUUCUGAUGAUUCCAUCGAUUCUGUUCCAAAACUCUGACGAUUCCAUCAGUAGUCUGUUUCAGUAGCGAUGCUUCUUCCAAGAUUGGAGCAUCAUAGUGUAGGUUAAUGGAUGUGAGGGGCCAUUUUGGUUGUAUUAUCUUAUUGAUUAGUCCUCUAUGCUUCAAGAUAUUGUUGGGAAUAUUGACUUUAUUUUUAUUCAGAAACACUAACAAUCUAGCCAAGUGCAAGGAGAUCAUCAGAGAAUUCUUGAAGAACUAUGCAGCCUGAAGGAAAUUAUGAAGCAUGCUGCCAAAAAUGCAAGAUAGCCACAUUUAUGGCAGGAGGCAAUGAGAUGCAUUGCAGGAACUAUCACCGCAACCUUCUUCUAUGGUGAGAAGCAAAUUGUAUAGGACGAUGUCUAUUUUUCUGAAUUCAUUUGUACACUCCAACAAUAUUGGUGGCAACUUAUAUCCUGAUGGAAGGAGGCAGGAAGCCGAGCUGUCUAUUUUUGCCGGUGCUGAGAGCAAACAGCGGCGGACUCACCGUCAAGUUCAACUCCCUACAAGGCUCCAUCCAGUGGUGAAAAAGGAUAUGAGAACCUAUUGCUUGUUGAGAUCCAAAUACCGUCAGUUCGGAAAUCAUCAGUAAGUUUUGUUCUGCAGUGUUCAUCUGUAGUGUAUUCAUCACCAAAUAUUAUCAUACUGUCUUAGGUGGUAACAAAAUAGGCAAAUGAUUAUCGAUUAUAGAUUGAUUGAAUUUUAUAUUAAGGUGAUAUUUGCAAGGUUGCAGAUGGGCUUAGCAUCCAAGAAAUAUUGGAGAACUGGUUAAAACUGAAUGAGUUCAAUGAACUGAAUGAAUCCGGACAGAGGUAACUUUAUUUUUUCUUGAAUAUAAAUUUCUGAUUCAACCUGAUUCAUCAAUGAGCAACUGCAAAGAUUAGAAUGUAGACAAGCAAAAUGAGUUCACCUCUUUGAUAUUUCAUCCUCAAAUUCUAAAACAUAUUGAACUCAGUCGUGCUCAAAAACUAGAGUGACUGAACACAGGCCCCAUUCUCCCUUUCUAGCCUUUCCACUUCCUAUGUGAGAUUUCUCAUAUUUGUAAGAUAUUGCCUUUGGGUCUUAAUGCAAUGAAAACUAAGGAGGUAUAUUUUCUGCUGCUGGUAUAUUGUGUAUUUUUCCUCAUAUUUAUUUGGGCUUGCUUCCUAGAGUUGUGUUUUGCGUUGGUUGUGGGUGGUAUCUUGUUGAUUGCUGGUGGGAUCUCUCGAUUGUUUUGGUUCGUCACUUCAUGUCAGAUGCAUGGACGAUGGCAAAGAUGGUGGCCAUGGUGCAGAUCCGGGAUGCUUGUUGGAUGCGCGAGCUUGCGUUGGAUCUCAUGGCUUCGCUGCUGGUGUGUCUGUUUUAAGAAUCCCUUGCCUAUCAGUAACAUGCUUCCCUCCAUGAUUGAGCUCCCUCCAUGUCCAACCAUGGUGCUUUUGAGUCAGGAUGUUAGGUUGGGACGGGCUAAUGAUGAUUCUCACGGGUGUGAUGGUAUUCACCAAGUUAGAACAGCAAUUUACGUUUUAAAUAGUCCUCCAGUGAACCUCCGAUCUGAUCGACAGUGUAGGUUCAUGACCAAGAACAUUCGUGUACAUGCUGUGACAUUUCAUUUUCAUUGCUACUUCUAAUAUCACACAAUGGAGCGUCCAAGCUUGAAAUGCAUUUGUAUCACUGGCCUUCUCAGGGUACAUGUUGCUUCCAAAUUGGAUGCUAUUCA